GCCCCCAGGGCCCCGCGGCCCCCAGCCCCCGCCGCCCCGGCGCCGGCCCCUCUCACCCUUUCAUUCUCUGCCCGGGGCCUGACGCGGGCCGGCGAAUCCCCGGCCUCACAUCAGAGUGAGAGGCGCUGGCAAUGGACUAGGAAGCUCGGCUGCCGCGGCUACUGCUCCCCCCUGGGCUCCGGCGAGAGCCUUUCCCUGUCAAGCAAGAGGGGUGAGGAUCAUAUUUUUAUUUUGGAAACUAAAAAGUGCUCCCAGGGUCGGUGAUUAUUAAGGGGAAAUCCCUGAAUAUACUCUCCAGCCAAGAAGGCAGGGCUGCCGGGGCUGCACAGAAGAGGCAGCAGCCUCCUACAGCACCACUACAGGCACUGCGAGGACAUAACACCAGAGAGCCGCUCCUCUGCCCUCCGAAACGACAACUUUCCUACCAUCUUGGAGGCAGAGGAAAGGGGGGUCGGGGGGAAAAGUGCACCCGCUCCCGAUAAAGUACAAAUUUCUACUUCUCAUCUCUGGAAAAAAGUCCACACCGGCCGUCUACACCGGCGCCUGGGGGAAAAGGCGGGGAAGAAACUGGGGGUGCUUGAGAAACGUUUUCAUGGGCACCACGGGGCAAAAUGUUUCUGCAUCUUCUGAUGGAGAGAAAUCUUUACAAGACACAGGUUUUCCGGUAAUCUCCAUACCCAUCGUGAAGCUUGAACUUACAACCCCAAGAUCAAGAGUCUCGUGCUAUACCAACUGAACCAAAUGGCCCCUCCAGGUUAAAUGAGAAGCAUUCGAGGAAGCAAAUUUGGACUUUCUGUCAAUCUCACUGAGAGUCUAAGACAGAGAUCACAAGUAGGCAGAGAGGCAGGCAGAGAGAG